AAUGAACGCUGGCGGUAGGCCUAACACAUGCAAGUCGAACGGCAGCACAGUAAGAGCUUGCUCUUACGGGUGGCGAGUGGCGGACGGUUGAGGAAUACAUCGGAAUCUACUUUUUCGUGGGGGAUAACGUAGGGAAACUUACGCUAAUACCGCAUACGACCUACGGGUGAAAGCAGGGGAUCUUCGGACCUUGCGCGAUUGAAUGAGCCGAUGUCGGAUUAGCUAGUUGGCGGGGUAAAGGCCCACCAAGGCGACGAUCCGUAGCUGGUCUGAGAGGAUGAUCAGCCACACUGGAACUGAGACAGGGUACAGACUCCUACGGGAGGCAGCAGUGGGGAAUAUUGGACAAUGGGGGCAAGCGUGAUCCAGCAAUACCGCGUGGGUGAAGAAGGCCUUCGGGUUGGAAAGUCAUUUUGUUGGGAAAGAAAAGCAGCAGGUUAAUACGCCGCUGUUCUGACGGUACCCAAAGAAUAAGCACCGGCUAACUUCGUG
rnacentral:rRNA from 1 species